rnacentral:rRNA from 1 species
CACGCAGGCGGUCAGGCAAGUUGGCGGUGAAAGCCCUCGGCUCAACCGAGGAAUUGCCCCCAAAACUGCUUGACUUGAGUCCCGGAGAGGGUGACGGAAUUCCCAGUGUAGCGGUGAAAUGCGUAGAUACUGGGAGGAACACCAGUGGCGAAGGCGGUCACCUGGACGGGUACUGACGCUCAUGUGCGAAAGCGUGGGGAGCAAACAGGAUUAGAUACCCUGGUAGUCC